AUGGUCACUUCAGCAACACAUAAACAAAAAUUGUAAAGAUACACAGAAGAUUAGCAUGGCCCCCAUGCAAGGAUGCACGAAAAUUUGUGUAGCAUCCUAUAUAUAU
ensembl:snRNA U6 U6 spliceosomal RNA